AUUUUCAGAGAAACCAGGACAACAAUACAGACAAAGGUUCAUUUGCACCGUUUGCAAUAAUCGUCGACUUGACCCAAGUCUAAUAAAAUUAAUUGAUCACGCUCCAAAGAGCUGAUUUAAGAAGUGAAACAGCAAUAGAAUACACGUUAGUCACAUUCACAUCCCCAUACGACACGUGUGUGGGCUGUACAGUGAUAGAAAAUCUGCCCCCAUUCCUUUAUUACCAUGAUAUAUACAGAUUAUCCCAACCCAUCACCUGUAUAACCAGAAAAGGAAAUAGCCUCGGAAACGGAGGAAAAAGAAACCCACAAAUCUAUGCUCUCCCCUUCCCCCGCAGCAAAGCAGCUGCUCCCACCAACAGCACUUUCAGGUCACCUUCAGGAAAUUCUGUUACCAAGCCCAGCUGAAGUGGCUGGCAGGGGCGAUGCCAGGAGAAUGUCCGGUCAUUUUCCAUGUGAAAAACAGAUGCCAGGCUCUGGCGAUAGCUCCGAGGGAGACUGGACAGCGGGCGAGCACGCGAUGUGCUGCGUUGGGUGGGAGCUAUCUAGGGAGGAUGUGCUGUUUGUUUUCUACUUCUAAAAUUACACACUGGGACAUUUCAGUAAGAAGUUGGCACAGAGCUCUCAGAGGCCAGGAGCUGCGUUUCACACCAACACACACACACACCCAAGAGAAACUUCACCUGCUUUCACUGUACGAUCACCUGUUGUACACCCCGGCACGCACAGCCAUCAGUCUGUUCUUGGCAAGAAUUUCCACGAGAAGCCUCCAUUACAACCCUGCUAACUACAGCAUCACACCAAAUGCCUCCUCCUUGCUAGGGUACAGCAUGCCGGUGGAAAGCCAGGGGGAGGCGAUGGGCAGGUUAAACACGGGAGAAGGCAGAAGAGAAGAGAGAGAGACAUACAAAACUCUGGGACAAACAUACGGGCUGUAGAAGAUUUCCUCAUCACCGGGACAAGGAUGUUACAGGCAACUUAAGUUCAAGAGUUUGGGUUUUGAACAAUGAGACAAAGCAGCGACAGAGAUACAGAUGGACAGACAUCUGCACCUAGGCAGGGGCAAACAUCAUGGUAUGUAGUCAAUUACAUACACACACACAGUUCUCCAGGGUUACCACCAUGCUGCCAUAGUCUCUAAUUUCCACUGAACACAAGCUAUUGUGCUAACUGCCGUCAACAUAAAUACGAGUCCUCUAGGGAGCCACUUGCCAGGACUUCCCAGCUUCGCUCACGUUCUCCAAGCCAUCGUCCUCGCAGACUUCUGUAUGGCCCAGUCCGCCAAGCACGACGUCUGACCUGUCCACUGACUGCAAAGGGCUCCGGAUCAGAGCCUCAGGCAGUCCCAGCUAAGUCAAUGGAACCACUCAGGUCCUUACUGGGGAGCAAGCGCUUUGCGGGGUCGGUGCCGAAGGGACCAAGUUCCCCAGACUCAUUGCACCUCAGGCCCCUGGCAAGUUCUUGGCUUCCUGUCCCUUGCUCGGACCAGCUUGUGUAUUACCCCCUUCUCUCGCGCCACAUCUGUGAGUUGGGGGGCAGCCCAGCCCAGCCAUGGAGGUUACUCAGGGCUGCACCCACAAAAACAAAAUCCAGUUCCCAACUGGAGUGCAAUCACACUCCCCCACAAAACAAAACCCACACACCUGGACUUUAUCUUAACAAUGGAAGUAAAUCUAAUUUUGCAAACAAGCCACACACACACACACACACACUCCCGCAAAUCAACCCCUGCAGCCCCAUGCAGACUAGAAGUCUGAGCUAAUAACACCAAGCCUUUCACAGAACCACGAACGGUCCUAACAGGGUCACACGCAGGCUGGGCCCAUUCAGACACAAGGCAUGAAUUCUCUAGGAGACCGUACAGCACAAUACAACGGAGGACACCCAGAUUCAUGGGCUCUCAACCCAAUGUCCCAAGCCCCAUCUGGUGGCACAGGG
ensembl:lncRNA